GAUAGCCACUAGAAAUGGUGGGUAAUACUGUAUAAUCCCUGCGGGGGAAAGAUUUAUCGCUAUUAGAUGAGCCUAUGUUAGAUUAGCUAGUUGGUAGGGUAAAGGCCUACCAAGGCGAUGAUCUAUAGCUGGUCUGAGAGGAUGAUCAGCCACACUGGAACUGAGAUACGGUCCAGACUCCUACGGGAGGCAGCAGUGGGGAAUAUUGGACAAUGGGCGCAAGCCUGAUCCAGCUAUGCCGCGUGAGUGAG
rnacentral:rRNA from 1 species